rnacentral:lncRNA from 10 species
AAGAGACAGCGCCGCCGGCCGUGGGGAGCGGACGCAGUGAUUUGCUCCCCCUCGUGCAGCAACCCCCACACCCAGCACCAGGCCCCCAGAACUCUCCUUCCAGCUGAACUCCCUGGGAACAAGUCAGUUGGGCUGAUCACUGAACUCACAUUUCUGGACCUGAGGAGCCUGUUCCUCUCACGCCCUCACCUGGCUGAGCCGCAGUAGUUCUUCAGUGGCAAGCUUUAUGUCCUGACCCAGCUAAAGCUGCCAGUUGAAGAACUGUUGCCCUCUGCCCCUGGCUUCGAGGAGGAGGAGGAGCUGCUUUCCCCAUCAUCUGGAAGGCUUUCUGCCUCCGAGAUGUGGCACCAUAGUGCGGUGCCCUGUGGCUUCACCGCCCUACUUCCACCUCCGCCCAGCCUGUAAUGUUUAUAUAAGCAGCCUCAAGGACCAAGAACCAUCUGCGAAAGGACACACACAGGAAAUUCAUAAAAGAAAUCUGAAUGGAUAAAACCAUGAAAAAAAGUAUGCUUCAUUAGUAAUUAAAGAAAGGCAAAUAGAGCUGGAAGCAUUUUUCCCUUAGCAAACCAUAACAGAAAAAAAUAAGACCCAAUAUUGGCAAAGAGACUACUGAAAAAACAUUCCCAUACAUUGCGUGUGGGAGUAUACAUCGGUGCAGGCUUCCUGGAUGACAGUUGGGUGAUAUGUGUCAUGUGGCCUAAAAGCCUCCAUGUCAUUUGACCUACGAAUUCUAUCUUUGGGAAUUUAUCCUA